rnacentral:rRNA from 1 species
AGAGCGUAGGGUGAAUGCCUUGGCAUUAAGAGCCGAAGAAGGACGCGGUUAACUGCGAAAAGCCAUGGGGAGCUGUAAGCAAGCAUUGAUCCAUGGAUAUCCGAAUGGGGAAACCCGGCGGUCGUAAUGGGCCGUCACCGUUACAUGAAUAAAUAGUGUAACGGGGGGAACCCGGUGAACUGAAACAUCUAAGUAGCCGGAGGAAGAGAAAGAAAGAUCGAUUUUCUUAGUAGCGGCGAGCGAACGGGAAAGAGGCCAAACCGGGACUCUACGGAGUACCGGGGUUGAGGACCUGCGGAAUCGAAGUUGGAGAUAGUCGAAGACGGUUGGAAAGCCGAACCGGAGAGGGUAAAAGUCCCGUAGGCGAAAUCGAAGACGAGAGGCGGGUAUCCAGAGUACCACAGGACACGAGUAAUCCGGUGGGAAGCAGGGGGGUCCACCCCCCAAGCCUAAAUACUACUUAAUGACCGAUAGCGUAUAGUACCGUGAGGGAAAGGUGAAAAGAACCCCGGGAGGGGAGUGAAAGAGAACCUGAAACCCUAUGUUUACAAGCAGAGGGAGCGAAAGCGACCUCGUACUUUUUGUAGAACGGGCCGGCGAGUUACUGUGUGCAGCGAGGUUAAGGCGUAGAGCGCCGGAGCCGAAGCGAGAGCGAGUCUGAAGAGGGCGAAAGUUGUGCGCAGUAGACCCGAAACCGGGUGACCUAUCCAUGGACAGGAUGAAGCGGCGGUAAGACGCCGUGGAGGUCCGAACCACACGUAUGUUGAAAAAUGCGGGGAUGAGCUGUGGAUAGCGGAGAAAUUCCAAUCGAACUCGGAGAUAGCUGGUUCUCCCCGAAAUAGCUUUAGGGCUAGCCUCGUUUUAAAUUACCGGGGGUAGAGCACUGAAUGGGCUAGGGGGCCACAAAGCUUACCGAACCCUAUCAAACUUCGAAUACCGGAUAAUUGAUGAACGGGAGUCAGACGGCGGGAGAUAAGUUUCGUCGUCAAAAGGGAAACAGCCCAGAUCUACGACUAAGGUCCCGAAAUCACAGUUAAGUGGAAAAGGAUGUGCAGUUGCACAGACAACCAGGAUGUUGGCUUAGAAGCAGCCACUCAUUUAAAGAGUGCGUAAUAGCUCACUGGUCGAGUGAUUGUGCGCCGAAAAUGUACCGGGGCUAAACUGUGUACCGAAGUCUAGGGAUCGUGAUAAACGAUCGGUAGGGGAGCAACGUGUGCGGGCUGAAGCCGAAGCGAAAGCGACGGUGGACUGCACGGGAGAGAGAAUGCCGGCAUGAGUAGCGAGAGCAAAGUGAGAAUCUUUGCCGUCGAAAGCCUAAGGUUUCCUGAGGAAGGCUCGUCCUCUCAGGGUAAGUCAGGACCUAAGCCGAGGACAAAAGUCGUAGGCGAUGGACAACUGGUUGAUAUUCCAGUACCACCUUUAGCGUUUGACUGAAGCAGUGACACAGAAGGAUAGACAGAGCGCGUGACUGGUAGAGCGCGUCCAAGCGAUGAGGGAGUUAAGUAGUGAAGCACGCUUAACAAUCCUGGGUCGUGAUGGGGACUGAAAAUAAGUAGGGAAGCUGUUGAAUUCACGCUGGCGAGAAAAGCUGCUAAGGAGCGAAAGGGUGCCUGUACCGCAAACCGACACAGGUAGGCGAGGAGAGAAUCCUAAGACGAGCGGGAGAACCCAUGUUAAGGAACUCGGCAAAAUGACCCUGUAACUUCGGGAUAAAGGGAGCCACGAGAGUGGCCGCAGAGAAUAGGCCCAAGCGACUGUUUACCAAAAACACAGGUCUGUGCGAAGUAGAGAUACGACGUAUACGGGCUGACGCCUGCCCAGUGCCGGAAGGUUAAGGGGAAGUGUUAGGGCAACCGAAGCACGGAACUUAAGCCCCGGUGAACGGCGGCCGUAACUAUAACGGUCCUAAGGUAGCGAAAUUCCUUGUCGGGUAAGUUCCGACCCGCACGAAUGGUGUAACGAUUUGGGUACUGUCUCAACAAGGGACCCGGCGAAAUUGUAGUAUGUGUGAAGAUGCACAUUACCCGCGAUAGGACGGAAAGACCCCGUAGAGCUUUACUGUAGUUUAACAUUGGAUUCCGGUAACAUAUGCACAGGAUAGGUGGGAGGCGGAGAAGCAGUGAUUUCGGUUGCUGCAGAGCCGACGUUGGGAUACCACUCUUGUGUUACUGGGGUUCUAACCUGUGGCCGUGAUCCGGCACAGGAACAGUGUUAGAUGGGCAGUUUGACUGGGGCGGUCGCCUCCAAAAGAGUAACGGAGGCGUCCAAAGGUUCCCUCAGAAUGGUUGGAAACCAUUCGAAGAGUACAAAGGCAGAAGGGAGCCUGACUGCGAGACCGACAGGUCGAGCAGGGACGAAAGUCGGGCUUAGUGAUCCGGCGGUAUAGAGUGGAAUUGCCGUCGCUCAACGGAUAAAAGCUACCUCGGGGAUAACAGGCUUAUCUCCCCCAAGAGUCCACAUCGACGGGGAGGUUUGGCACCUCGAUGUCGGCUCGUCGCAUCCUGGGGCUGGAUUAGGUCCCAAGGGUUUGGCUGUUCGCCAAUUAAAGCGGCACGCGAGCUGGGUUCAGAACGUCGUGAGACAGUUCGGUCCCUAUCCAUCGUGGGCGCAGGAGAUUUGAGAGGAGCUGUCCCUAGUACGAGAGGACCAGGAUGGACGCACCAAGGGUGAAUCAGUUGUUCUGCCAAGAGCAUAGCUGGGUAGCCAAGUGCGGAUCGGAUAAACGCUGAAGGCAUCUAAGCGUGAAGCCGACUUCAAGAUAAGAUCUCCCAUCCGCAAGGAGUAAGGCCCCAUGUAGACCACAUGGUUGA